GAUUAUCCAAUGCCUAAUGUCGUUAAUUUCAAUGCCGAUGGAUUAGCACGGAGAUAAGUGGGGCCUGCUGGAUGCAGUGGAAUGUUGAGGGACAAUAAGGGUGUGGUGUGAUGAAUCUAACGAAGCCAAGUUAUUUGUUGUCUAAACAGCUUUGUAACUCUCAAUAGCUGCAUAAGGAGCCGUUGAUGUGUUGGCUCACUUGAGUUGAAAGUUCAAUAGGUGCUUGUUGUUUUGGGAUUUAUUGACUUGUAGGAAGUUACAGUUUGGUUCUCUGAAAGAAGGGUUGUUUGGUGUUUCAUUUGAGCAUCAAAAGAUUAUUGAGAUGAAGUCCAUCCCCAAGAUUUGAGAAUCAAUUGGAUUGAUCUCCAUUAAGUCCUUUGCGGAAUUUCAAUUGUUGGAUCAAUUUGGUCUUGGUGUUUUGGGGUGUUGAGGAAUGAUGAUGGCUUGGUGUCAUAAAUGUUGUCCUCAUUUUUCAGCAAUGCUUUAGGUUGUUGAGUGUUUGGGAUUCGGGUUAUGUCUUGAUGAUUUUGUUUUGGUUUGUGUUCAUUUUUAUGUGUUGCAUACUAGGCUGUUGAUUUGGUGUUGAUA
rnacentral:lncRNA from 1 species